rnacentral:rRNA from 1 species
UACGUAGGGUGCGAGCGUUAAUCGGAAUUACUGGGCGUAAAGCGUGCGCCGGCGGCUCUUCAAGUCAGAUGUGAAAGCCCCGGGCUUAACCUGGGAAUGGCGUUUGAAACUGGAGGGCUGGAGUGUGGGAGAGGGAGGUGGAAUUCCACGUGUAGCAGUGAAAUGCGUAGAGAUGUGGAGGAACACCGAUGGCGAAGGCAGCCUCCUGGGCUAACACUGACGCUCAUGCACGAAAGCGUGGGGAGCAAACAGG